rnacentral:rRNA from 1 species
ACUCCUACGGGAGGCAGCAGUGGGAAUAUUGCACAAUGGGGGAAACCCUCGAUGCAGCCAUGCCGCGUGUGUGAAGAAGGCCUUCGGGUUGUAAAGCACUUUCAGUAGGGAGGAAGGUAGUGUAGUUAACACCUGCAUUAUUUGACGUUACCUACAGAAGAAGCACCGGCUAACUCCGUGCCAGCAGCCGCGGUAAUACGGAGGGUGCGAGCGUUAAUCGGAAUUACUGGGCGUAAAGCGCAUGCAGGCGGCCUGUUAAGUCAGAUGUGAAAGCCCGGGGCUUAACCUCGGAAUUGCAUUUGAAACUGGCAGGCUAGAGUCUUGUAGAGGGGGUGAGAAUUAUCAGGUGUAGCGGUGAAAUG